CUUGAGUUAGUUAUCUUUGCAUCUUUGCUCCAAGUAUGCAUUUACCCGUGACUUGAAUAUGGAGCAAGAAAGACGAACCCGGAAUCAUAACGCCUGAGCGGAGUUGCCACAUCCGGUUUUCAGCGUAAAAGGAAGCUAGGUCACCCGGCACCAUAACAUGUUUACGUUUCUGUAACUAAGACUAGCUAAGUGUCUCGAUUCGCACCGUCGGACUCAGAGCAUUCAGUUUACAUUUCCGAAAUAAGCUAACCAGUUACCCACCUGGAAGAUGAAGUACUUUACUGUAGCACCAACUUUUUUUCAAGUUCCAAACUGUCUUAUGGAAGGCUAAGGGGGACCUGCAAAAUCAAGGUCGUCAGCUGGGAAAAAGUUGAAGGAUCCAUACUCCAACUGCAAGAAAAUUGGCUUGGAUUUCAAUGUUGGGUCUGGAUCCAAUCAGAAACUAGAUUUGCAGUUGCUGACUAAAGGUGUGAUGGUUGAGGUUUCUGAUUUUGCUAAAGAAGUUAAUAGAGCUCAGCAGCAUGUUGUCUGUGACAUUCUAGAGUACAACUUUGAUCUUGGUUUGCAAAAGCAUCAAAGGUAUGAUUUUGCGACACGUACUAUGCACAAAUUAAGAGAAUUGAUGAGAAAACGAAAAACUGUCCUAGGAAAACCUGAAUUGGUAAUGGAGGUGUUUACCCUUCCUGAUCCCAACACGAUAAAAGGAUCGAAAUAUGCCCUUUCAACUGCAAAGAAUUAUGACCGUGUGUCAGAAAAUCUUGAAACUGCUGGCACAUUUUUAAUGGACAAAUCUCAUCUGGACAUCGUAUCCAGACUUACUCACCAUGUCAAGACAGACAACCUGUUAACUGAGAAAGAUGUAACGCAGUGUGCUGGUGGAACGGCGUACAGCCUUGCAAGGGACCAAAACUGGCAUCUAAUGGCUUCUACAACGUCAAAAACAAUGAAGGACCCUUAUCCCCUCUGUAAGAAAAUAGGAUUAGAACUUGAUGUGAAAUCCAAUUUUGGGGCAAAAGAGAAACUUAAUUUGGAUUUAUUGACCAAAGGUAUAAUGAUUGAACUUGGUAAUUUUGCCAAAGAUGUUUGUGGAACUUACAAGCAAAUUGUCAUUGAUGUCCUAGAGCACAAUUUUGAUCUUGAUUUGCCUAUUGAGAAAACCAAGCUGUCUACCUAUAUUAUUACAAAGUUGAGACGAGUUGUUAAGAAAAUGACAUGCAUGGCACAUAGAAGGAAACCUCCAUAUUUAAAGGAAACAUUCUCACUGGGGGUUGGCACAAGAAAGAAACCUGCAGUGAUUUCCAGUAAAAUGCAGGUCAUUAACUCAAUUGACUCAAAUGUGUGGAAAUAUCAAGGACUGAAAAAAGUUACAGAAAGAAGACGAUUAGAUUUGAGAAGGAAAAAGGGAGAAAGAGCCACUUGCAAAGUAAGAGAAAUGAAGGCAGAGAAAUUUCAUAGAGGUAGACAAGUAGGCCUAGUUCCUCAGUCUGUGAAGAAACAGACCAUUUCCAACGAGACUGAACUCACAUUGUCAGCCGGAAAAAUGAAGGUCCCGGUCAGCAAAAUUAAAAAGGCAAAUGUGAUGCCCUUUGCAGAGAAAGUGGUGAAAAACUGCUACCCCUUGUGCAAAGAAGUAGGUGUGGAACUUGAUGUGAAAUCCAAACCACUAUCCAAAACAAAACUUGACUCACAGUUACUGACUAAUGGCGUAAUGUAUGAGGUUCAUAAGUUUGCAAAAAAUACAAAAAAGGCUUAUAUGUAUACUGUCUAUGAUAUACUGGAAUAUAAUUUUGAUCUAGAUUUGCAAAAUCAGAAACGCUGUCAAUUUGCCGUACAUAUUUCAUCUAAACUGAAACGAAUGGCUAAACGGAAAUAUGUCACAAAUGAAGACUUUUCAAAAGAAGUGUUUAUAAUACCUCUUGUGACUAGACAAUACAAGAAAAAAGAAGCUACUCCACCUGCAAGAUUGUCAAAAAGACAAUUGGAUUUGAAAAGGAUACAAGAGGCAAAUCAUACAGAGGAGAAGAGGAACUGUCAGGAGAUGGUUAGCAAGACCGGUUUGAAAAAUCUGGUCCCUGAUGCAAGGACUGUAGGGUCUCUGCAUGAUGAAGAGAUCAUCUCUAUCGAAACAGCUGAAACUGUCAAGCUUGGCCAAGAUAAUGGACCCACUGACUUCUGCUUAAAGGAGUCUGAUGUUCACUCUGGGGUCACAGAGCAAACCCCAUGCCCAGAGAACUACCAAGUUGACAUUUGCUGGAAAAUGAUCAAUGAAAUUGUUACGAGUAGUGAAAUGCAACAGAUGAGAUGGAUUUUUGUACCUUUUUCAAACUGUUUUGGUGUUGGGACUGGUUCGGAAAAGAAAUUUCAACAAAUCCUUGCUGAAUACAGAUCAGACAUCCUACCACUGGUAGUUGAGAAACAUUGUGGCUUUAGUUCCACUGAAAAGACAAUGAUGUGCCUUGUAAGUCAGCUCUUCUGUGGCUUACAUUUGAUUGAUGGCUUAGCUCACCAGGCAAAAACAACUCUUCUACUUUGGGAAAAUAUGAUUUUAGGAGAUAAAGAAGUAGGAGUCCAUAGCUCCCCUAACAUUGAGACAACAGAGUUGGAGUCUGGAACAGUGCGUUUGGUGAGUUCUGUGAGUGAUGCUGUGCAAGAGCUUGGAUGGGCAGAGGACGGUCAGCUUGUUCCGUUCGAAAGCUUUUUGACCAGCAAAAAAGAAUUUGAUGAAGUUCCUUUGUCUCUAUCCAUUGGACACAGAAUUGAUGGUCUGUUUCAUAAUUCUGCUGGAGUGUGUAGCAUCCAUGAUGAUUUGGUUGAGUUUACCAGUACGUACGGAGCUGAGAGUAGUUUGCUUGCUGCAGUUGUUGCUGAUUUGGAGGUUCAACAGUUCAAGGCCGGAUGCAGAGCUCUGGGUCUGGUUUCCAAGCUUAUCAUUGAUCCUCUCUGGAGAGCCUUAACUUUGAAGGGAAACGUGUUGGAGAUGGAAGAAAGAUACCAAACCCUUGUUACCAAACUCAAGGAAUGGCAGGAAGAUGGGAGAGACCUUGUUAAAGGAAAUGCAUGCUUGUUUGAUGACAUUGAGGUACCCAAGAACCUUGUGUUUGACAGGCUUACCAUGUGGACUGACACAGACUUUUUUGAGUUGACUGUUCAGAUUGUUGAGUUGAUCCUAGCCAGUUUUCUGAAGGUAUGUUCUAUGAUGCUUCCAGUCGAACCAGAGCUCCUGUCAAAGAAAAAUGAUCGAUUCAGGAAGGAUUUGGCAAUAUUAGAUCAAUUGCAAAAAGCUAAGUCAAAUGCAGUCAGUAUUGCCAUUGAAGGCAUGGACAUGUGCAAGAAGAAUCACACUUGGGAAUGGCUGUCCUUUUUGGAUGAAUCAAAAAUGGUGUCAAUGAG
rnacentral:lncRNA from 1 species